rnacentral:rRNA from 1 species
AACGAACGCUGGCGGCAGGCCUAACACAUGCAAGUCGAGCGAAGCCUUCGGGCUUAGCGGCGGACGGGUGAGUAACGCGUGGGAACGUGCCCUUUGGUACGGAAUAGCCCCGGGAAACUGGGAGUAAUACCGUAUGUGCCCUUCGGGGGAAAGAUUUAUCGCCAAAGGAUCGGCCCGCGUUGGAUUAGGGAGUUGGUGGGGUAAUGGCCUACCAAGCCGACGAUCCAUAGCUGGUUUGAGAGGAUGAUCAGCCACACUGGGACUGAGACACGGCCCAGACUCCUACGGGAGGCAGCAGUGGGGAAUCUUAGACAAUGGGGGGAACCCUGAUCUAGCCAUGCCGCGUGAUCGAUGAAGGCCUUAGGGUUGUAAAGAUCUUUCAGUGGGGAAGAUAAUGACUGUACCCACAGAAGAAGCCCUGGCUAACUCCGUGCCAGCCGCCGCAGUAACAC